rnacentral:tRNA from 1 species
UUAAUUAAAGCUUUAAAGAAGCAAGACAUUGUUAAUGUCUAGAUGAAUUUUUUUCUAGUUAAU